ACUUUACCAUGCGGGCAACCGUGAUAAGGAAACCCCGAGUGCCAGCACAGGCUGGCUGUCCACCAGUGUAAAUAACUGGUGAAGAAAGGGCCGGGCAAGACCGGUGCCAGCCGCCGCGGUAAUACCGGCGGCUCGAGUGGUGGCCGCUAUUACUGGGCUUAAAGGGUCCGUAGCUGGAUAUACAAGUCCCUUGAGAAAUCCGCCGGCUUAACCGGUGGGCGUUCAGGGGAAACUGUAUUUCUAGGGACCGGGAGAGGUGAGAGGUACUGCCGGGGUAGGAGUGAAAUCCUGUAAUCCCGGUGGGACCACCUAUGGCGAAGGCAUCUCACCAGAACGGGUCCGACAGUGAGGGACGAAAGCUGGGGGAGCAAACCGG
rnacentral:rRNA from 1 species